UGUUUGGCUUUUGCAGAGAGAAGAAGCAAGGAAUGAAGACUAUAUUGGCAGCUUUUGGACUCCUUGUAUGGGGAGAGCAGUUUGCUAAUGAAAAGAGGGCCCCAAUCUCUGCAGAGCUCUGCUUGGUGCCCACUGAGGCUGAACUGCUGACCAGACAUGAGGAGGAGCUGUGGAGGCUGGGGAUAACCAGACAGUAAACUGCCCAGCUCCCUGAGGACAAAUUGAUGAUCAGGACCCUGGACCCCUUGUCCACAGAGACAGUGAGGGCAGGCUGCCGUCUGUGUGUGGAGCACAGUGGGCUCCUUCACCUUCUGUGCUUUGUCCUGGUCUGGAUCAAGAGGCGUCUCACACAGAAACAGGGCUGGGCUCUAGGAGCUGCAGUGAUGCCCUGCCAUGACUGUUUCCAGAACGAUGACAAACAGAGAGACACCAAAAACACAAUCAAACAGCAGAGCCCUGUCCCUUACACUGAUCUCACAGAGCACACCAAGAAGAGGAAGAGGAAGAGGAGAGGCAAGGCAUCUUCAUAGCUUCACACUGUGGAUAACUGCAGUACCCAGAAGUGAACACUAGGAGAGAUCCACUUGGUGCCCACUGAGGCUAAACUGCUGAUCAGACAGGAGGAGGAGCUGUGGAGGCUGAGGAAGGAUAGACAGAAGACUGGGCAGCUCAUUAAUAGGCUCCUCGCUUAAAGCAUCCCACUGGCAGCCUCAGGAAGUGAAUGGUGUAAGCUUGACCUGUGACCCACCAGAAUGUGAGGAGUGGGGAAGAGCUCUGAGAGCUGGGCCCAGAUGAUCAGGACCCUUGACCCCUUGUCCACAGAGACAGUGAGGGCAGGCUGCCGUCUGUGUGUUGAGCACAGUGGGCUCCUUCACCUCCUGUGCUGUGUCCUGGUCUGGAUCAAGAGGCAUCUCACACAGAAACAGGGCUGCAAUUGCCCAGAGAAGACCCUGACCUGGCUGUAUGCCGAGAGUAAGGAGAGGGACACAAAGAGACAUUGGACAGCAGAGCCCUAACCCUGGUACUGAAAGUACAGAGCACACCAAGAGAAGGAAGAGCAGAGAGAGGGCAUCUUAAUAAUUGCCUCUAUGGAUCCCUGCAGUGCCCAGGAAUGAACACCAGGGGUCCCAGUGUAUAAGGACAAAAUUCUUCGCUUGAAAAGAAUCAGGAACAACAUGAGAAUUGAAGAGCUCCUCUCCUGUUUGUGCACUUCUUGGUGAUAUCAUUCAUACACUCUACCCCGAGAAGGACUGACCUACUGUAGUUGAAGGGGUUUGAAAAGACCUGUUGCUCGCAGUCCUCACAAGGACCCAGAACCCUGGCAACGGGAAGGAACCCUUCAUGAACCUGAAAACAAGCCAGAAAAUCAGAGAAACGUACUGUAAGUCUUCAGUCUAAUUUUGAAAACGCAGCCACCUGGAGCAUCUUUUACACAGGUUGGCUUAGAAGCUAUUCUUUAUGCUUUAAGCUCUGCCCCAAGUUAGCCCCAUCUUAACUACUAAGAGUCAGUAAAGAUGGGGCUAACCAUGUAGGAAUUCCUAAGACUUUUUUUUUUACUUUGUGCAUUUCUGCUAUAUUAGACUGGACAUGCUCAGUGCUGAGAGACCUCCUAGGAAAAAAAAAUGGUUUCCGCUGAAAGUGUAGAUAGAAACUCUAGUGGUUACAUUCUAAAAUGUAAACUUAGAAUGCCACUCACAAUUUAAGCUUUAGAUCAUGGAUUUCCAACUCCAUUCUAUUUAAAUCCACAACACCUCAGAAUUUGCUGGGAAAAUCUAUUAUACUGUAUAUUUUCCCAAUUAACCUAUUGGUUUAGUUCAAUUGGAUCAUUAAGAGAGGUGCUAGAAUCAAAGCCUGCAGGAUUGAGUUUAAAUGAAAGUAAAUAGCAUCUAAACCUAUUACUGGCCAGUACAGUAUUCAGGUAGUCAUUCUGAUUAAAAAUUUAAGCUUUGCUGUGAUUAAUAUUUUUAUUGUCUGAGUUCCUUAAAGGGCGGUGGCAAUCUUCUCUUUCUUUCUCUCUGGAUAUGUGCAUAUGACUAUUAAGUAAAAUGCAGAUAAGGCCAACAUAAUUUCUGAAAUGUAUUUUCCAAAACUUGCUCAGCUGGGUAUAUUAAUGAAGACAU